AGUGAACGCUGGCGGCAGGCCUAACACAUGCAAGUCGAACGGCAGCACAAGAUAUCUUGCUCUCUGGGUUGCGAGUGUCGGACGUGUGUGGUAUGCAUCGGAAUCUGCCCAUUUGUUGGGGAUAACCUCGGGAAACCUGUACUAAUACCGCAUACUACCUACGGGUGAAAGCAGUGUAUCUUCUGACCUUGCGCAUAUGUAUGAGCCGAUGCCGGAUUAGCUAGUUGGGGGGGUAAAGGCCCACCAAGGCGACGAUCCGUAGCUGGUCUGAGAGGAUGAUCAGCCACACUGGGACUGAGACACGGACCAGACUACUACGGGAGGCAGCAGUGGGGAAUAUUGGACAAUGGGCGAAAGCAUGAUCCAGAAAAGCCGCGUGUGUGAAGAAGGACUUCGGGUUGUAAAGAACUUUUGUUGGGAAAGAAAAGAAGCCGGUUAAUACCCGGUUGUAAUGACGGUAACAAAAGAAUAAGCACCGGCUAACUUCGUG
rnacentral:rRNA from 1 species